rnacentral:tRNA from 2 species
GCUGGCGUAGCUCAAUGGCAGAGCACUGGUUUUGUAAACCAGAUGUUGUGGGUUCAAGUCCCACCGCUAGCU